CCGGGGCUGCGCAACCUCCCGGUCAGGCGUCAUGCCCAAGCGUUGC
rnacentral:ncRNA from 1 species